CAUAUUUUUGCCUGACUCAAAGCCUCUCAAAAAGUGGGUGUGGACCUAUUCUCUCAAUUAAUUCUUCAAAAUUUCCUGCAAUCUUUCCUUACAAUUUUUCUGCACAUAUAUUUUAGAAGGUUUAUUAAGGAAUUUUAUCUCCCAGUUUCUUUCCUUCUUUGUUUUCUUUCGAACUGGCUGAGAUGUUUUGUUCUUAUAUAUAGGAGCUCCAAUUGCUGGUUCUGCUGCUGAUAAGCUGGAGGAAAUUAUUGGUUAUGUAAGCAUAGCUAGGCUACCCUUUUGGCUUAACUGCUUCAAUUCUGUUUGGGAGACCCUUUGAAAUGGAAGGACCUAAUUAUGAUGCUCAGAUGGUGGAUUUAAUUCUGGGUUUCCUUACAUCAUUGAAGGGAUCAACAGCCUAACCAACCAAAACAUUUGCACCACUAACUUGUAGAAUCAGCAGAAACAUAACUAAGUCAAAGUAAGGAUUGGCGCAUUUAGGUUUGAUUCCAGAAGAAGAAUUUGGGAUGUAGCAUUGAUCAAGGAAACGUUGGUGCUAUUUGUUAAAUGCGUCAGCAUGUAUUUGGACUACAGAAAUGAAAGUUUAGAUGAAUAAGUUCAAGCUAUCUCGUCAGAAUUACUCCACGUUUCGUGGAAUCUUUCAAUGAUUUGAAGCAUCGGACAUCAAUGCAGAGUCCACAUACAUCACAUGUGUACCUGAGCCCACGAAAAUAUUGAUUACACACAACACAGUUGUACAGAUCAUGUUCCCAUCGGUUCCAUGAAAGAAUGAGUUGGUUUUCGUGAUAUUGCCACUUUUUUCGCCUGGGUAAUUCUUUGCAGGUUUUGUCAAGAAAGAAAUUACAACUGUCACAACUAUAAAAUGGAGUUGAGAUUGUUAACAUGCACCCAUCACACUUUAGAUCAUCAUCAACCUUGUCAUUAAGGAUUAGGUUAUGUUCAUGACUGAAAUGAUUGAUCU